AGUGAACGCUGGCGGUAGGCCUAACACAUGCAAGUCGAACGGCAGCACAGUAAGAGCUUGCUCUUACGGGUGGCGAGUGGCGGACGGGUGAGGAAUACAUCGGAAUCUACUUUUUCGUGGGGGAUAACGUAGGGAAACUUACGCUAAUACAGCAUACGACCUACGGGUGAAAGCAGGGGAUCGUCGGACCUUGCGCGAUUGAAUGAGCCGAUGUCGGAUUAGCUAGUUGGCGGGGUAAAGGCCCACCAAGGCGACGAUCCGUAGCUGGUCUGAGAGGAUGAUCGGCCACACUGGAACUUAGACACGGUCCAGACUCCUACGGGAGGCAGCAGUGGGGAAUAUUGGACAAUGGGCGCAAGCCUGAUCCAGCCAUCCCGCGUGGGUGAAGACGGCCUUCGGGUUGUAAAGCCCUUUUGUUGGGAAAGAAAAGCAUCAGGUUAAUACCCCGCUGUUCUGACGGUACCCAAAGAAUAAGCACCGGCUAACUUCGUG
rnacentral:rRNA from 1 species